rnacentral:rRNA from 1 species
UAUCAAUAAGCGGAGGAAAAGAAACCAACAGGGAUUGCCCCAGUAACGGCGAGUGAAGCGGCAACAGCUCAAAUUUGAAAUCUGGCCCCCGGGUCCGAGUUGUAAUUUGUAGAGGAUGCUUUUGGCGAGGUGCCUUCCGAGUUCCCUGGAACGGGACGCCAUAGAGGGUGAGAGCCCCGUCUGGUCGGACACCGAGCCUCUGUAAAGCUCCUUCGACGAGUCGAGUAGUUUGGGAAUGCUGCUCAAAAUGGGAGGUAUAUGUCUUCUAAAGCUAAAUAUUGGCCAGAGACCGAUAGCGCACAAGUAGAGUGAUCGAAAGAUGAAAAGCACUUUGAAAAGAGGGUUAAAAAGUACGUGAAAUUGUUGAAAGGGAAGCGCCUAUGACCAGACUUGGGCCCGGUGAAUCACCCAGCGUUCUCGCUGGUGCACUUCGCCGGGCACAGGCCAGCAUCAGUUUGGCGCGGGGGAGAAAGGCUUCGGGAAUGUGGCUCCCCCGGGAGUGUUAUAGCCCGUUGCGCAAUACCCUGCGCUGGACUGAGGUACGCGCAUUCGCAAGGAUGCUGGCGUAAUGGUCAUCAGCGACCCGUCUUGAAACACGGACCAAGGAGUCGUCUUCGUAUGCGAGUGUUCGGGUGUCAAACCCCUACGCGUAAUGAAAGUGAACGCAGGUGAGAGCUUCGGCGCAUCAUCGACCGAUCCUGAUGUUCUCGGAUGGAUUUGAGUAAGAGCAUACGGGGCCGGACCCGAAAGAAGGUGAACUAUGCCUGUAUAGGGUGAAGCCAGAGGAAACUCUGGUGGAGGCUCGCAGCGGUUCUGACGUGCGAAUCGAUCGUCAAAUAUGGGCAUGGGGGCGAAAGACUAAUCGAACCUUCUAGUA